rnacentral:rRNA from 1 species
UCCGUAGGCGGUUUAGUAAGUCAGUGGUGAAAGCCCAUCGCUCAACGGUGGAACGGCCAUUGAUACUGCUAGACUUGAAUUAUUAGGAAGUAACUAGAAUAUGUAGUGUAGCGGUGAAAUGCUUAGAGAUUACAUGGAAUACCAAUUGCGAAGGCAGGUUACUACUAAUGGAUUGACGCUGAUGGACGAAAGCGUGGGUAGCGAACAGGAUUAGAUACCCUGGUAGUCCACGCCGUAAACGAUGGAUACUAGCUGUUGGGGGCAACUUCAGUGGCUAAGCGAAAGUGAUAAGUAUCCCACCAGGGGAGUACGUUCGCAAGAAUGAA